rnacentral:rRNA from 1 species
CCUACGGGAGGCAGCAGUGAGGAAUAUUGGUCAAUGGACGAGAGUCUGAACCAGCCAAGUAGCGUGAAGGAUGACUGCCCUAUGGGUUGUAAACUUCUUUUAUAUGGGAAUAAAACGUUCCACGUGUGGGAUUUUGUAUGUACCAUAUGAAUAAGGAUCGGCUAACUCCGUGCCAGCAGCCGCGGUAAUACGGAGGAUCCGAGCGUUAUCCGGAUUUAUUGGGUUUAAAGGGUGCGCAGGCGGAUUUUUAAGUCAGCGGUCAAAUCGUGGGGCUCAACCCCAUCCAGCCGUUGAAACUGGGGAUCUAGAGUGUGCGAGAGGUAUGCGGAAUGCGUGGUGUAGCGGUGAAAUGCAUAGAUAUCACGCAGAACCCCGAUUGCGAAGGCAGCAUACCGGUGCACAACUGACGCUCAGGCACGAAAGCGUGGGUAUCGAACAGGAUUAGAUACACGUGUAGUC